ensembl:lncRNA
CCCAGGUGCUCUGACAUAAGCCACCUUGGCCUUGGGAGAGGUGUAGAGAUGACAGUGCUUCUCUGAAUGGUGUCCCUGGCAGCACAGGCCCUUGGGAGGGAUGGGGACAUUGCAAGAUAACCCCUUUCAGGAGAAAGAGGGAUUUGUGGAAGAGAAAAGUGUCUGGAAUGGUUUGUGUGCUUUCUUCAGCAGAAAAAAAGAGGCUUACUAAGGGCUAUAAGAAGUUGGCAACACAAUCCUGCAUCCUGAGUUUCUUGUACUUCCUCCUAAUACAACAGCAAGCACAGCACAUGGACCCUCUUCCAGGACGCCAGCCUAACACCUUGCUAUACAAAGGGUGGUCCAUGGAUCAGCAGCACUGGGAGCUGGGAUGCUAAAUUCCCAAAAGGAUUGUUAACUUUCCAGCCCAGGAUCAAGCCCUAUCUUUCCAGGAGAAUGCCAAGAAAGGGAGGAGCGUGGAAAGAAAAUUUAAAAGUCCCUGUGUUUCCAAGAAUUGAAAUCAUUUCUCAGAGGAGGAGGGCCAUAGGAGCCAACGUCAUCAGAAUCCUACCACUGAGAACACUCAUUUGCUCCAAAUCUUGAACGUGUCACUGAAGACCAGGGCCAACUUGUUGGGACACAUUGUAGGGAAAAUGGGGCUGCCCAAGAUAAAAGCAUUUGAUUAUCAAAAGCCGAGUAUGUUUCUUAAAUGUAUUUGCGUUCUGGCUAGGGCCCACAAAUGAACUGUUUCAGAGGCUAGGUACUGUUGAUCUCCUUUAUUUUCCUACUGAUUCUGGUAAUGUCCAUGCGGUAAUACCCACGUGGUCCCACCUGUUCCACUGUUGACUCAUUGCCUGGAAAGGGCUGGGGAAAGGUGAGGAUGCUUCCUCUGUUGGUGCCCUGGGUAAGCUGUCCUGUAAAUAGCACUCUUGUACCAGCGUUUCAUGGGAUCACCAAAACACACUUGCAGCAGAUGCUGUUGGCACCCUGCCCAGGUCCCCUUGACCAGCUGCUGAGCAUGUUGGUUGUUAACAACUCAUACAUGCACUCACCUCAGAUUGUCCUUGGCUGAUGGAAGGUAUCUAGCCCAGUGAUUCUUAAGAGGUUCCAUUCUAUUUCUUCCAGGAAAUCAAUCAAUUCUCCAAGGAGAUCUGAUCCAUUGUAACGAAGAAUGAUAUAUACAAACAAAAUCUGGUUACUAGGGAUGCUCAUUUCUACUGAAGAGUGACUGCUUCUGGACUCUUUGGAUGGACAGAGCUGGGAACUAUACGUAUGUAUGGAACUCAUGCAAAUACACAUACGUACAUACUUACAUAGCUAUAUUCAUGUCUGACUCUGUCUUUGUACAUAUUUUUUUUUAAUCUCCAGGAGUUUUAUUGUUAACUCCAAAUCUGAUCCAGCACCACAGGCUUCAUUCUCUGCUUUACCCCCUUUUCUUAUUUGUAACUUCUUUCUCAGACCAUGACAAGCAUGAUUCUUGUUAUCUACAACAUGAUUACUUAUUUGUUCAACUCUAGCAGACAAAUGACGGAGAAGGCGAUGGCACCCCACAGCAGUACUCUUGCCUGGAAGGUCCCGUGGACGGAGGAGCCUGGUGGGCUGCAGUCCAUGGGGUCGCAAAGA